rnacentral:tRNA from 1 species
GCUCGCUUGGUGUAAUUGGUAGACACGAUAGGCUCAAAACUUAUUUCUUUUGGAAGAGUAUCGGUUCAAGUCCGAUAGCGAGCA